rnacentral:rRNA from 1 species
CCUACGGGAGGCAGCAGUGGGGAAUAUUGCGCAAUGGGCGAAAGCCUGACGCAGCGACGCCGCGUGAGGGAUGAAGGUCUUCGGAUCGUAAACCUCUGUCAGCAGGGAAGAACGGUCACUGUGCUAAUCAGCAGUGAAUUGACGGUACCUGCAAAGGAAGCACCGGUCAACUCCGUGCCAGCAGCCGCGGUAAUACGGAGGGUGCGAGAGUUAAUCGGAAUUACUGGGGGUAAAGCGCUCGUAGGCGGUAUGUCAAGGCAAGGGUGAAAUCCCCGCGCUCAACGUGGGAACUGCCUUUGAAACUGGCAGACUUGAGUGUGUGAGAGGAUAGUGGAAUUCCAGGUGUAGGGGUGAAAUCCGUAGAUAUCUGGAGGAACAUCAGUGGCGAAGGCGACUAUCUGGCACAUAACUGACGCUGAGGAGCGAAAGCGUGGGUAGCAAACAGGAUUAGAUACCCUUGUAGUC